UCGGCCCACCAUGUCGCAGUUGCAGGACAAAUUAGCGGAACGCUAAUUUGCCCAGCAACAAGACCGGCCAGCGGGGCGAUGCCAGGCCAUAAGGCGUGGCUUUGCCACGACUGACGGGCUGGCGAGCAGUGACCUGCACGACCUUCAAGGUUUGGGGCCUUAGCUCAGCUGGGAGAGCACCUGCUUUGCAAGCAGGGGGUCAUCGGUUCGAUCCCGAUAGGCUCCACCAUUCGCCGCUGUCGCAAGAUGGCCGGCUGGAGUGGUGGGAUUGCUCGAACGAAUUCUCCGGGGAUGAAGAAACGAGUUCCGGCCAUGCGCAAGCAUGGUUUGGUAUUGGCACGUUUGGUGCCUCUUUGACAUUGUGAAUGGGUUUUUUAGAUCGAUGCCGUGUUGCAUCGUAUCGGCGAUCAUGGUCGCCGUACGAGCAAGCAACACACAUUAUGGGCAGCGGUCGUGUGGCGAAAGCUGCAUGAUGCGUUGUUCGAUCUGGCUGAGAUAUCGUCCGCACCUGGCACACCGCAAACGUUAUGCAGGUUUGUUGGUGAUGGUGUGGAUUCUCAAGCGUGAGGUAAGAGCAUCUGGUGGAUGCCUUGGCAUGUACAGGCGAAGAAGGACGUGGCACGCUGCGAUAAGCGUCGGGGAGCUGUGAGCAAGCUUUGAUCCGGCGAUUUCCGAAUGGGGAAACCCACCUUCACCAUUU
rnacentral:misc_RNA from 1 species